rnacentral:lncRNA from 1 species
GUAAGGCCUGGCCUGGUCUGUUAUUCAAUUUGUGUAACCUAUAGGGACACUUGGAGUUGGCCAUCUGGGUGUCUCAUGUGGCCCUGAGAAACUCCCUAUCUUCUCAUAGCUCCUCACCUGAUUCUUCUGUUUCCAUUGCAGAUUCCAGAGAGGCCCAUGGUGGGCGUUAAUGGGCUGGAUGUGACCAGCCUGAGGCCCUUUGAUCUUGUCAUCCCCUUCACUAUCAAGAAGGGUGAGAUCACUGGUGAGUGAGGGCUAGGAAGGAACUCAGAAAUCAGUGAUGCCAGGGUGUUCCAAUCUCUUGUUCUGACACUGAAACCACUGCUCUGUAGGGGAAGUUCGAAUGCCCUCUGGCAAGGUGGCCCAGCCUUCCAUCACUGACAACAAAGAUGGCACUGUUACUGUGCGUUACUCACCCAGUGAAGCUGGCCUGCAUGAAAUGGACAUUCGCUAUGACAAUAUGCAUAUCCCAGGUAGGUGUAUUGCCUCUUGUCCACUCCAUCUUAGGUCCAUGUUGCUAUCAUCUUAGGAAGGACAGGCUGGGGUGGGGUUAUAAGUCAGUUAGUAGGGGCUGGGGAUUUAGCUCAGUGGUAGAGCGCUUGCCUAGGAAGCGCAAGGCCCUGGGUUCGGUCCCCAGCUCCGAAAAAAAGAACCAA